GAUUAACGCUAGCGGCAGGCAUAAUACAUGCAAGUUGAACGGCAGCACAGGUAGCAAUACUGGGUGGCGAGUGGCGCACGGGUGCGUAACACGUAUGCAACCUACCCUAUACAGGCGAAUAACCUUUAGAAAUGAGGGCUAAUACGCCGUAGUAUUACAGAUGGGCAUCUAUUUGUAAUUAAAGAUUUAUCGGUAUAGGAUGGGCAUGCGUCCCAUUAGUUAGUUGGUAAGGUAACGGCUUACCAAGACGAUGAUGGGUAGGGGAUCUGAGAGGACUUACCCCCACACUGGUACUGAGACACGGACCAGACUCCUACGGGAGGCAGCAGUAAGGAAUAUUGGGCAAUGGCCGCGAGGCUGACCCAGCCAUGCCGCGUGCAGGAAGACGGCCUUAUGGGUUGUAAACUGCCUUUAUACGGGAAUAAUAGAGUGUACGCGUACAUUUAUGCAAGUAUCGUAUGAAUAAGCAUCGGCUAACUCCGUG
rnacentral:rRNA from 1 species